rnacentral:lncRNA from 1 species
CGAGGCUGGAGCGCAAUGACGUGAUCUCGGCUCACUAUAACCUCUGCCCUCCAGGUUCAAGCAAUUCUCCUGCAUCAGCCUCCUGAGUAGCUGGGAUUACUGGCACACGUCACCAGGCCCGGAUAAUUUUUGUAUUUUUAGUAGAUAUGGGAUUUACCAUGUUGGUCAGGCUGGUGGUCUCCAACUCCUGAUCUAGUGAUCUGCCCGCCUCCGCCUCCCGAAGUGUUUGGAUUACAGGUGUGAGCUACCGCACCCGGCAACAAGGACAUUUUUAUACAAGCUGAUAGGGCUGUGAAUUCCUGGUUGUAUGAGACGUGAAUUCCUGGUUGCUCCACUCCAUCUUUCCGGAGUGGAGACCCCAAAUUCUGUUGGGGAAAGUGUACAACUACUGCUCUUAACUGCUUCCUGCCGACAAGGGGUGCUGUUUUGGGAAAGUGGCAGUUAAGGCUCCUCCUGAGAAUCCUCCAUCUCAGGAAGGCCCCAGUAUUGCCAGGCUGGGAGAAACCCAAGCCAUGAGGAUAGACCAUGAAUAGGAGUUCUGGUUGACAAUCCCAGUUCACUCCCAGCUUCAAAUACACAAGGCCAAGUGCCAGAUACGGGCAUAAAAAGCAAUUUUGGAAGUGGACACUCCAGUCCCAGCUGUCCUAGCCCUCAGCUAUUUGAGUUGCAUCCAGACAUGUAAAUCUUCCCAGCUGAGGCCUCAUCAUUGAGGUGCAGAAAAGGGGCAUGCCCAUUGUGCCUGUUUCUAAAUUCCUGACCCACAGAACCUCUAAUCAGCAAUACAACUGGGAUUUGAUAUCAGAUUCAUGCGAUUCCGAAGACCCUGACCACCAAAUGCAAAAGGUACAUGGCAAUAGCUGAUUGCAAUGAGAGAAAAACAACUAAUAAGGCAACAAGCAGGAUACCAAGAUAUUUUCCAAAGUGAAUAGCACUGAUUCUAUGAGGAAUGAACAUUGCCAAACAAGUGUUUUGUUUUGCUUUUCAACUCCUCUAAAAAAAUUCACAUAUAUGCAUGCCACUUUCCUGAAAAAUAUCUGCCUCAUAAUUGCCAUAAGAAACUGUAUGGACAACUCUUAAACAUUCUGAAAGUAGUCAGGGAUGGGGGAAAGCAUUUGCUAUUUUAGUCUGUUCCUGGUCUUAUAACAAAUACCACAGACUGGGUAAUUUAUGAUUACAGAGAUGCAUUUCUGAAAGUUCCAGGAGUUGGGAAGCUCAAGAUUAUGGCACCAACAUAUUCAUUGUCUGAUGAGGGCCUGUUUCAUAGAUGUCAUUUUGCAUGACUUAAUCACAGGGUAGGAAAAGCAAAGGGACAAAAUGGACAAAUGCCAUGUUGUCACAUGGCAGAAGAAAUGGAAGAGCCAGGAAGCUCUCAGAGAAGCUUCCUCUAUUAGGAUAUUAAUCUCAUUCAUGAGUGCACAGCCAUCAUAACUUAAUUGCCUCCAGAGGCCCCACUUCCUCAUCACUUAGAGGAUUAAACUUAAACAUGAAUUUGGAGGAAAUAUAUUCAAACUCUAGCACUAGUUUAAAUGUAGCUAAAAAGGUUUCUUCAUUCUGUAACUGUCAAUAUGCUAAUAUUUUUGUAAAUAUCCAAGAGGAAGCUAAAGCAUAUAAUAUUCCAAAAUUUAUUUCUGUUUGUGGAUAUUAUGUUUUCCUCUCAUUCUAUCUCAAGAAAUUAGUGUCCUCAAGAAACACUAUAUAGAAUAAUUGUCUUUCAAGUUCAUCAACUACUGGUUCUUGAUUCUUCAGUAGCUAAUCCUGGGUAGUAAUACUUAACAGAUUAUAAAAACUUGGGUGCUGCUAUAUAAAUGUGCUGAAACUCCCAGGGAAUCAAACAUAAGGACUUAAAGAGAGAUGUAACUAGGGAUCAUAAUCAUGAAUUUCAGCUGCUUCUCUAUCUUUGUCAGUGAGCAAAUGACCAUACAAAAUAAGGUAUUCAGUUAUUAAUUCUGUGCCCAUAUCCCGGAAUUUUGCCCAAUACAUUUGUAAGUUUAGAUAAAUAAGGCACUAAUGCCAGGGAUAUGUAGCAUUAGUUCUGGGUUUAUAAAGGGAUAUUCACAACCUCUUGCCAUCCACAGAAUUUAUCAGCCCAAAGUAAACUAUACUCGUUUGUUAAGGGCAACCUGAGACAUGUUUAAAACUGAGGUAGACUGAAGAGUCAACUAAUUGCAGGAAUCUUUUGUUAUUUGGUUGAAAUGUUCAAACAAGUCCCACUCUGAAUUCUAUUAGAAAUCCAUCAUUGGCUUAUCUCUGUUUCUCACUGUCUUAAAUCAUGUAUUUUAUAACACUAUGAAGAACGAUGUUCAAAAGAAUAAGCUAAAUUUAAUUAAUUAAAUUAUUUAUUUAUUUAUUUUGAGACAGAGUCUCACUCUGUCACCCAGGCCAGAGUUCAGUUGCACGAUCUUGGCUCACUGCAUCCUUCACCUCCUGGGCUCAAGAGAUCCUCCUGAAGCAGGGCAUUUCCCUGACCCCUUCAUGGGACUCGUGACAGGGGUGCCCCAUUUACUCAGCCCACUGCUCUCAACUCCUCGAGGGAGGGAAUGCACAACUGAACAAGGCAGGAACUGGAGUACAUGAGUGCUGGAACCAGUGGCCUCUUUGGUGCCAGAAGGAGUGAACUCACCCACUCUGACCUGCUGUGUUCCACACCUUGCAGGAGAGAGCAUGCAGGUGAGCAGGUACAGGAGCCAGGAAGAGAGCUUUGGGGUGUUGGCAGGAGCAAACUCCAUGUGGGCCCCAUAGCAGCACCUGGGUUUGAGGGGGUGCCUGUGAUUCCUGAAACCCCAGUGGGCAUAUUACAGUGCUCCUUUAGCUCUGCCAUCUUCAGACAGCUGAAGUGUUAGCAGCUCAGCAUGCCUUUUUGUAUCCACACUCACUCCCAAGCUCUUGUUUGGCAUCCAGGAAAAAUCAGCUUACAGGAACGAAUUGAAGGAUGAUAAAUGCAGAGGAUUUUAUUGCCAAGGAAAGUGGCUCUCAGCAGGAAGGGCAGCUGGGAAGGAGAUGUAGCAGGAAGGUUUCUGGCUGGACUCUUUUCCAAAGUUGCACUGUCAAGCUGUCUCUCUGAAAUCAAGCUGCUUCUCUCCAACGUCCAACCGUAGUCUCUGAUGCCCAGCUGCUGCUUCUCUUUUGAUGUUCAGCUGCUUCUCUUUUUUGCUAGCUGAGUCUGGGGUUUUUAUGGGCACAGGAUGGGGGACAGGGGAGGUCAUGAGUAACUUUGUAAAAGGCAACAUUUGAGUGGGAAAACAGGAAUGUAUGUUCUCACUUUGGGCUGUGGUUCCAGGCUUGAGGGUGGAGCCCUUGCCAGGGACCUGCCCUCUUUUGCCCAGAAUUUCCCCACCCCCCAUCCCUGUCACUCCCACCUCAACAUCCUGAGUAGCUGGGAUUAUAGGCGCACACCACCACAUCUGAUUAAUAUUUAAAAUUUUUGUAGAGACAGGGUUUUGUCAUGUUGCCCAGGCUGGUCUCAAACCCUGGGCUCCAGUGAUUUGCCCACCUCAGCCUCCCAAAGUUCUGGGAUUACAGGUGUGAGCCAGUGUGCCUGGCCCUAAAUAAUAUUUAUAUGGGCAUUUUGUAAUUAUUUUUUUUAAUAAUAUAAAUGUUUCUUUUUUAAUAUGAAUUUUUCAGGAGUUUUAAAAUUGACUGAUUAUUCAUUAAAAUUUAAUGAAGGACAGGAAUUGGCUAUUUUUCUGAAUGACAAAAAUUAGGAAAGUUUUUAGAGAGA